rnacentral:lncRNA from 1 species
AUGUUAAUCACAUUUUCAUAUAUCUAUGUAAAUAUAUAGUGUACAUAUAUGACAUAACUUAUUUAAAAUAUAAACUUCGGUUCUGACAAUUUUCAGAAAUUUGACCUAUAUUCACCAACCUAGACUCCCACAAGAAGUUGCUGAAUUCAUCGAAACACCACUCAAACUGACAAAUGCAUGCGUCUGUGAUCAUAAAAAUGUACUAAUUACCAGUAAAAAGAAUCAAUAAAAGGUAAUUAUAUAAAUUGAUCACCAUCGCCAAUAACCAUGUUCCAAAAUUGUUUGUCAGCGGAGAAAUUCAACUCAGGGCUCCCUUGGCAAUUCAGGACGAUCGAGAGGUAAAUCAUCAAUCCAAUCGCCAUAAAUACGGUUGAUCUUGUUUAAUUUCUUCAGAUCGAGAGGUAAAUCAUCAAUCCAAUCGCCAUAAAUACGGUUGAUCUUGUUUAAUUUCUUCCAAAGUAAUUCCUU